ACAAAGAAGAGAAGGAACAAUGAUGGAGCCAAAAAGGGCUGCGGCCACGUGCAGCCUUUUCACUGCACAAACUGCAUUCAAUGUGUGCCCAAGGACAAGGUCAUUAAGUUCUCUAUUCAAGGCAUAGUAGAGGCCACCACUGUCAGGGACAUUUCCAAAUCAAGGAUCUUUGCUGCCCAUGUGCUUCUCAAACUGUCAGGAGCUCCAUCACUGCGUGGCUACAGCAAGGUAUUCAGGAAUGAAUCUCCUGAAGCCAGCAGGACUGAACACCUUCUCAUCCAGAUUUAGAGCUGCUACUGCUACCCCACAAUGUCCACUAAAGCCCAUGUAA
rnacentral:lncRNA from 1 species